AAUCCAUUCAUUCAAAAUAUAAAUACAUAACCUAAUAAUGAUGCUGCAUGACAUAUCUCUAACUUAAGCAUUGCAUUUCCCUUCCAAGUUAAAAGAAUAAACUCAAAGCAAAUACUUUGAAAUUCUAUUCCUUACAGACAAGUGUCUGAUAGUGAUUGUAAUCUAUCUUAAAGGAAACUCAAACUAACUAACAAUUUUGAUCAAACUUUUAUCUGUACAAAUUUGCCCUUAACAUAAUAAAAUAUAUUAAAACGAAUAAGUUAUAUAUUUAGAUAAGUUAUAUAACUGAAACAAACGAAUUAUAUUAAAACGAAUAAUAAACUUCAAAACAUAAUAAAAUAUAUUCCAUUUAAAAAACAUAAUAAAAUAAAUAUACAACUGAACGCAAUAUAAAAACAGACAGAGCGCCACAUGUUUAGUAAUGAUUUUAUUGUCGAACUUAAAUCUAAAAUCUGCUGCUUGAUGUUCUCAACUAACAAUUCUCAACUCAAAAUGCUAUUUUCGGAUUGCAACUUCUCAACUUAUCUGCGGAUUUUAGAUUCAACUCGGAAUUUUGUUUCCACUAGUAAUGAUGCUAUUUUCGAACUUGAAUCUAAAAUCCGCUGCCUGCUGUUCUCAGCUAAUGGUGUAAAGAAACAAAUGCCAAAAUGAUACCUUUUGUCACCCAUAUCUCGGAUUGCAGAUGCAGGAGGUCCAAUGAAGGUAAGACCAUUGUCUUCACAAAGUUGAGCAAAGUCAGCACUUU